rnacentral:rRNA from 1 species
CAGUCGCCACGGGAAAACGGAGGGGGCUAGCGUUGUUCGAAAUUACCGGGCGUAAAGCGCACGUAGGCGGCUUGGUAAGUUAGAGGUGAAAGCCUGGAGCUCAACUCCAGAAUUGCCUUUAAGACUGCCGAGCUAGCAGGUGAGAGAGGUAAGUGGAAUUCCGAGUGUAGAGGUGAAAUUCGUAGAUAUUCGGAAGAACACCAGUGGCGAAGGCGGCCAUCUGGGACAACACUGACGCUGAGGCACGAAAGCGUGGGGAGCAAACAGGAUUAGAUACCCCUGUAGUCCCUGUCUCUUAUAA